rnacentral:rRNA from 1 species
UACGGGGGGGGCAAGCGUUGUUCGGAAUUACUGGGCGUAAAGGGCUCGUAGGCGGCCAACUAAGUCAGACGUGAAAUCCCUCGGCUUAACCGGGGAACUGCGUCUGAUACUGGAUGGCUUGAGUGUGGGAGAGGAAUGCGGAAUUCCAGGUGUAGCGGUGAAAUGCGUAGAUAUCUGGAGGAACACCGGUGGCGAAGGCGGCAUUCUGGACCAUUACUGACGCUGAUGAGCGAAAGCCAGGGGAGCAAACGGG